rnacentral:rRNA from 1 species
AGCGAACGCUGGCGGCAGGCCUAACACAUGCAAGUCGAACGAACCUUUCGGGGUUAGUGGCGGACGGGUGAGUAACACGUGGGAACGUGCCUUUAGGUUCGGAAUAACUCAGGGAAACUUGUGCUAAUACCGAAUGUGCCCUUCGGGGGAAAGAUUUAUCGCCUUUAGAGCGGCCCGCGUCUGAUUAGCUAGUUGGUUGAGGUAAUGGCUCACCAAGGCGACGAUCAGUAGCUGGUCUGAGAGGAUGAUCAGCCACAUUGGGACUGAGACACGGCCCAAACUCCUACGGGAGGCAGCAGUGGGGAAUCUUGCGCAAUGGGCGAGAGCCUGACGCAGCCAUGCCGCGUGAAUGAUGAAGGUCUUAGGAUUGUAAAAUUCUUUCACCGGGGACGAUAGUGACGGUACCCGGAGAAGAAGCCCCGGCUAACUUCGUG